rnacentral:rRNA from 1 species
AGAACGAACGCUGGCGGCAGGCUUAACACAUGCAAGUCGAGCGCCGUAGCAAUACGGAGCGGCAGACGGGUGAGUAACGCGUGGGAACAUACCUUUUGGUUCGGAACAACACAGGGAAACUUGUGCUAAUACCGGAUAAGCCCUUACGGGGAAAGAUUUAUCGCCGAAAGAUUGGCCCGCGUCUGAUUAGCUAGUUGGUGAGGUAACGGCUCACCAAGGCGACGAUCAGUAGCUGGUCUGAGAGGAUGAUCAGCCACAUUGGGACUGAGACACGGCCCAAACUCCUACGGGAGGCAGCAGUGGGGAAUAUUGGACAAUGGGCGCAAGCCUGAUCCAGCCAUGCCGCGUGAGUGAUGAAGGCCCUAGGGUUGUAAAGCUCUUUUGUGCGGGAAGAUAAUGACGGUACCGCAAGAAUAAGCCCGGCUAACUUCGUGCCAGCAGCCGC